GAUGAACGCUGGCGGCGUGCCUAAUACAUGCAAGUCGAGCGAACGGACGAGAAGCUUGCUUCUCUGAUGUUAGCGGCGGAUGGGUGAGUAACACGUGGAUAACCUACCUAUAAGACUGGGAUAACUUCGGGAAACCGGAGCUAAUACCGGAUGAUAUUUUGAACCGCAUGGUUCAAAAGUGAAAGACGGUCUUGCUGUCACUUAUAGAUGGAUCCGCGCUGCAUUAGCUAGUUGGUAAGGUAACGGCUUACCAAGGCAACGAUGCAUAGCCGACCUGAGAGGGUGAUCGGCCACACUGGAACUGAGACACGGUCCAGACUCCUACGGGAGGCAGCAGUAGGGAAUCUUCCGCAAUGGGCGAAAGCCUGACGGAGCAACGCCGCGUGAGUGAUGAAGGUCUUCGGAUCGUAAAACUCUGUUAUUAGGGAAGAACAUAUGUGUAAGUAACUGUGCACAUCUUGACAGUACCUAAUCAGAAAGCCACGGCUAACUACGUG
rnacentral:rRNA from 1 species